GAUGAACGCUGGCGGCGUGCCUAAUACAUGCAAGUCGAGCGAACGGACGAGAAGCUUGCUUCUCUGAUGUUAGCGGCGGACGGGUGAGUAACACGUGGAUAACCUACCUAUAAGACUGGGAUAACUUCGGGAAACCGGAGCUAAUACCGGAUAAUAUUUUGAACCGCAUGGUUCAAAAGUGAAAGACGGUCUUGCUGUCACUUAUAGAUGGAUCCGCGCUGCAUUAGCUAGUUGGUAAGGUAACGGCUUAACAAGGCAACGAUGCAUAGCCGACCUGAGAGGGUGAUCGGCCACACUGGAACUGAGACACGGUCCAGACUCCUACGGGGGGCAGCAGUAGGGAAUCUUCCGCAAUGGGCGAAAGCCUGACGGAGCAACGCCGCGUGAGUGAUGAAGGUCUUCGGAUCGUAAAACUCUGUUAUUAGGGAAGAACAUAUGUGUAAGUAACUGUGCACAUCUUGACGGUACCUAAUCAGAAAGCCACGGCUAACUACGUG
rnacentral:rRNA from 1 species